rnacentral:rRNA from 1 species
UGAAUACGAGGCACUAAGGUGCUGAAGUAGUGUAUGUCAUACUUCCAAGAAAAGCUUGCACUAUCGUAAGAUAAAAAUGCCUGUACCAUAACCGACACAGGUGGGUAGGUAGAGUAUACUAAGGGGCGCGAGAUAACUCUCUCUAAGGAACUCGGCAAAAUAACUCCGUAACUUCGGGAGAAGGAGUGCCUUAUUCUAUAAGGUUGCAAUAACAAGAUCCAAGCAACUGUUUAUCAAAAACACAGGUCUCCGCUAAGUCGUAAGACGAUGUAUGGGGGCUGACGCCUGCCCAGUGCCAGAAGGUUAAAGAAGUCGGUUAGCAAUUGCGAAGCUGGUAACUGAAGCCCUGGUGAACGGCGGCCGUAACUAUAACGGUCCUAAGGUAGCGAAAUUCCUUGUCGGGUAAGUUCCGACCCGCACGAAAGGCGUAAUGAUUUGGAUACUGUCUCGGAGAGGGACUCGGUGAAAUAGACUUGUCCGUGAAGAUGCGGACUACCUGCACCAGGACAGAAAGACCCUAUGAAGCUUUACUGUAACUUGAAAUUGAAAUUGGACUUUAUUCGCGCAGUAUAGGUGGGAGGCGUUGAUUAUAAUCUUGUGGGAUUAUUGGAGCCAUUAGUGAGAUACCACUCUUGUAAUGUUAGAUUUCUAACUUUGAAUCAUGAUCUGGUCAAAGAACAGUUUCAGGCGGGCAGUUUGACUGGGGCGGUCGCCUCCUAAGUGGUAACGGAGGCGUACAAAGGUUUCCUCUGAACGGGUAGAAAUCGUAUCUAGAGUGUAAAGGCAUAAGGAAGCUUGACUGUGAGACCUACAAGUCGAGCAGGGACGAAAGUCGGUCUUAGUGAUCUGACGGUACUGAGUGGAAAGGCCGUCACUCAACGGAUAAAAGUUACUCUAGGAUAACAGGCUGAUCUCCCCCAAGAGUUCACAUCGACGGGGAGGUUUGGCACCUCGAUGUCGGCUCAUCGCAUCCUGGGGCGGUAGUACGUCCCAAGGGUUGGGCUGUUCGCCCAUGAAAGCGGUACGCGAGCUGGGUUCAGAACGUCGUGAGACAGUUCGGUCCAUAUCCGGUGUAGGCGUUAGAAUAUUGAGAGGAGCCUUCUUUAGUACGAGAGGACCGAGAAGGACAUACCUCUGGUGUACCAGUUAUCGUGCCAACGGUAAACGCUGGGUAGCUAUGUAUGGAGUGGAUAACCGCUGGAAGCAUCUAAGUGGGAAGCCCACCUCAAGAUAAGUAUUCUCAC